rnacentral:lncRNA from 1 species
CCCUCCUGCGCGGCCGCGGCUGGCUCUAGGCCCCGGCCUCACAGCGCGGCGCCCCCGAACCCGGCUGCUCCCCCGAGGUCGCGGGCGCCGGCGGGAACCGCAGUAGCGGGAGACAUAGCCGGCCCAGCCGGGCACCGCUCCUUGCCCUCGCCGGAGACUGCCCAGCGCCCUGCGCCUCUCCGCCCCGGCCUGCGGCGCGCUGGGUGGCGACGAGUCGGCCUCGGCGUUGAUCAGCACCAGGUGUGUGCGAACAGUGGCCGCGGCGGGGUGGAGCCUUGGAUGAACCGUUGUCCACAUUCUGUUUUCUGAGUCAAAGAGGA